rnacentral:piRNA from 1 species
UUUGGUUGUACCUUUAAAACU